AUGCUGGAGACUUGUGAGUUGCAGCAGCAGAGUGUUGAACUGACUGAACAUGUCUUCCUGAAUGAAGAGAAAGUGGUGCCCAAAUUCUCAGGUGCUCGUGACAACUUGUGGUACCUGGACUCUGGAGCAAGUAACCACAUGACAGGCAAUCCACAGAAUUUUGCUGAGCUGGACCGUUCUGUUCACGGCAAGGUCAGGUUUGGGGACGGGUCUGCUGUAGAGAUCUGCGGGCGAGGGGUUGUACUGAUGCAGUCCUUCACUGGCGAGCACCGAGUGCUGCCAGAUGUGUACUUUAUUCCAAGACUGAAGAACAAUAUUAUUAGUUUUGGACAGCUAGAGGAGAGCGGCUGUAAGUACACCGGCGAAGAUGGUGUGAUGACAAUCUGUGAUAGCCAGAGAAAGGUGCUUGCCCGCGUGCCCAGAACUCGAAUUCGUAUGUAUGUACUGAAGAUACAACAGUGUGAACCAGUUUGCCUGCUAGCACAUGCAAAGGAGGAUGCUUGGUUAUGGCACAUGAGAUUUGGCCACAUCAAUUUCAGGUCAUUAUGCUCACUGGUGAAAACAUGGUUGAAGGAAUGCCAUGCAUUGAGCAAGUCGAUCAAGUGUGUGACGGCUGCAUGA
rnacentral:rRNA from 1 species